rnacentral:tRNA from 1 species
GCUGAGUUACUCAAGUGGCCAACGAGGGCAGACUGUAAAUCUGCUGGGCUUAGCCCUACGUAGGUUCGAAUCCUACACUCAGCA